ensembl:lncRNA
AUGGAUUUUGCUUUUCCCAUAAAAGAUUUUCCUUUUCCCAUAAAGGAUUUCUCUCCUCCCAGGAUGGAUUUUCCUUUUCCCAGGAGGAUUUCUCUCCUCCCAAAAACAUUUUUUCCUUUUCCCAUAAAGGAUUUCUCUCCUCCCAGGAUGGAUUUUCCUUUUCCCAGGAGGAUUUCUCUCCUCCCAAAAACGUUUUUCCUUUUUUCCAUUACGGAUUUCCCUCCUCCCAGGAUGGAUUUUCCUUUUCCCAGGAGGAUUUCUCUCCUCCCAGGAUGGAUUUUCCUUUUCCCAGGAGGAUUUUUUCACUCCCAGCCUGAGCAGGAGCAAAUUCCCAACAGAUCCUGCCUGAUUUUUGUUCCCAGGGAUUUCCCCCCAUCCCAGGAUGCCCAACCCCCUUCCCACCACCCCUUCUCCAGGAUUUUUUUUUUGUCCCAGGUUACUCCAAGGAGGAGCUGAGCUUCUCCCAAGGCACAAAUACCCAAAAAGCAUCCAGAGGAAGAGGAGGACGAAGUGAGAAUUCCAGAGGCUUCACCACAAGCUGGAAUCCCCCCCAUUAUCCCACAUUUUGUCUCUUCAGCAUGAAAUUCCCAAAAUUUCAUCUCCAUGGGAAUUCUCCAGGCAGUUCAGACUCUCUCCAGUUUCUCAAGGAAAAAAAAAAUUCCCAGCUCUGAGACCUCCAACCCCACCAAAUCCAGGAGAAUCCAGCAGGAUUUUCCCAUUUUAAGGCACAGGGAGCCUUUGGCACAGGGAUUUAUUCAGGUUAAGACACAAAAAAAAAAAAAAAAAAAAAAAAAAAAAAAAAAAAAAAAAAAAAAAGGCAGCAAAAAGCUCAUUUCACACCAGAUCAUUCCCACAAGGCACAAGUGGCACCCCUGAGAGGGGAUUUCCUGCUCCAAAAACUGGGGGAAAAGGAUGGGACAAUGGGAACAUCCCAGGGAAGGGGACAAGGAUCUUGGAACUGGAUCCCAAAAAUCCUUCCUUGGCUUCUGAUCUGAUAAAGGAGUGGCUAAAGGAUGGAAUUCGGGUUGGGAAGAGCAAUUCCCAGGGGAAAUGUGGAUUCUGGAACUGAAAUUUGCACAUCCAGGAUCCCAAAAUCCCUCCUGGUGUCCCAGAGGAGCAGCUGAAGGAUGGAUUUUGGUUUGGAGAAGUCAUUUCCCAAUGGGGAAUGGAAAUGGAAUUUGAAUUUGCACAUCCAGGGUCCCAAAAUUCCCCCUGAUCUCCCAAAUGAGCAGCUGAAGGAUGGAUUUUGGUUUGGGAAGAGCAAUUCCCAGGGGAAAUGUGAACCUUGGAUCUUGAAUUUGCACAUCCAGGAUCCCAAAAUCCCCCCUGAUCUCCCAAAGCCAUGGAUAAAGGCUGGAUUUUGGUUUGGAGAAGCCAUUCCCCAAUGGGAAAUGGACCCUGGGAUUUGAAUUUGAACACUCAGGAUCCCAAAAUCUAUCCUGGCCCUGAUCUCCCAAAGCCAUGGAUAAAGGCUGGAUUUUGGUUUGGAGAAGCCAUUCCCCAAUGGGAAAUGGACCCUGGGAUUUGAAUUUGCACAUCCAGGGUCCCAAAAUCCAUCCUAGUCUCCCAGAGGAGCAACUAAAGGAUGGGAUUUGCUUUGGGAAGGAUGAAAUUUAAUCCUGGAUUCAGAUGGGAAAUGGACCCUGGAAUUGGAGUUUGCACAUCCAGGACCCCAAAAUCCCCCCUGAUCUCCCAAAUGAGCAAUUAAAGGCUGGAUUUUGGUUUGGAAAAGCCAUUCCCCAAUGGGAAAUGGACCCUGGAACUGGAAUUUGCAUAUUCAGGAUUCCAAAUUCCCCCCUGAUCAUCCAAGGUGUAAUUAAAAGAUGGAUUUUGGUUUGGAAAGGUUUGGAAAAGCCAUUCCACAAUGGGACAUGGACCCUGGAACUGAAAUGUGCACACCCAGGAUCCCAAAAUCCAUCCUGAUCUCCCAAAUGAGCAAUUAAAGGCUGGGUUUUGGUUUGGAAAAGCCAUUCCCCAAUGGGAAACGGACCCUGGAAUUUGAAUUUGAACAUCCAGGACCCCAAAAUCCAUCCUGAUCAUCCAAGUAAGAGGUUAAAGGAUGGAUUUUUGGUUUGGAAAAGCCAUUCCCCAAUGGGAAACGGACCCUGGGAUUUGAAUUUGCACAUCCAGGGUCCCCAAAUCCCCCCUGGACUCCCAGAGGAGCAGCUGAGGGAUGGAAUUUGGUUUUAACAGCCAUCCCCAGCUGGAGCAGGGCACACAGGGAGGCUUCCCCCCUUCCCAGCUCACUCCAAGCAGGAAAACCCAACUCAGGGAACGAGGAGCAGCUUCUCCAGGUGGGAUUUUUGUCCCUCCUGCACAGGGAUGAGCAGCAGCUUCUUGCCAAGCCCGGCCUGGGAGGUGCCUUUGGGAUUUUUCCCGGGAUUUUGGGGACUCUAAACUGGAAACAGCAGCUCCAGCCCCACCCUGGGAUCCCAGGAGAGCCCCUGGAAUGGGAUCAGGGAUUCAGGGGGGAAAAAGGGGAUGAACUCCAGGAGGAUGAAGGCUGGCCAGCUGCCACACCCCAUUAAAAUGUACCUUUAGCAAUUUAAACUCCAAGUAUCAGUUAAAAAUCAGCGUUUUUUAGAGCUGUUAAAAAAUGGAACUGAGUUUUUCCCCCUCCCCACCACACAGAGGGAUUUUGGGAUGUCCCCAUUCCUCGUCCCCUCAAGUACCUUGACACCCAGAGCAGGAGGCAGGUAAUUACCCCUGGGUAAUUAAAGCCAAUCUGGCCACAAAAUCAAUGAUUUGGGGUUUUCCUUACACAGGAGGGAAGAUCUGAGCCCUUUUUAAACAGCUUUGCACCCAGCUGUAAAAGCAUUUAAAAACCCACCCAACUGCCUACAUAGAAAAAUAAAGGAUAAACAUUAUCCAGCUAUUUUAUAUUUAUAUAAAAAUUAACUUCUGUGCCAGGACUUUUUUUGUUUCUUUGCUGCAAAAAUAAUAAAAAAAAAAAUUAAUGAAAAAAAAAACCAGCUUAGGUUGGAUAACCUAAACCUUCAGCAAGGAGUAAACUCCAUCUUCCAUCUUAUUUAUCAGUAAAAGAGCAGCUUGCAAUUUCACUGCUGCAAAAUAAAGUUAUUAAAUAUAUAUAUAUAUAUAUUAAUAUAAAAGUCUGUAUAAACUCUUCUUUUUUUUGUUGUUGUUUAAGGAAGGGGACACUGAGUGACCAGGGGAAUCCAUGGGGACACUGAGUGACCACAAGAAUCACAGGGGACACUGAGUGACCAGGGGAGUCACAGGGGACACUGAGUGACCAGGGGAAUCCAUGGGGACACUGAGUGACCAGGGGAGUCACAGGGGACACUGAGUGACCAGGGGAAUCCAUGGGGACACUGAGUGACCAGGGGAGUCACAGGGGACACUGAGUGACCAGGGGAAUCCAUGGGGACACUGAGUGACCAGGGGAGUCACAGGGGACACUGAGUGACCAGGGGAAUCCAUGGGGACACUGAGUGACCAGGGGAGUCACAGGGGACACUGAGUGACCAGGGGAAUCCAUGGGGACACUGAGUGACCAGGGGAGUCACAGGGGACACUGAGUGACCAGGGGAAUCCAUGGGGACACUGAGUGACCAGGGGAGUCACAGGGGACACUGAGUGACCAGGGGAAUCCAUGGGGACAGAGCGACCAGGAGUGUCUGGGGACACUCAGUGACCAGGAACCCCCAGAAACCCUGGGGACAGACUGACUGGGAAUCCCUGGGACACUCGGUGACCAGGAAUCCCCGGGAAUCCCUGGGGACACUCAGGAAUCCCUGAGGACACCGAGUGACCAUGGGAAUCACUGGGGAUGCUCAGUGACCAGGAAUCCCUGAGGACACUCAGGAACCCCUGGGAACACUCAGUGACCAAGCACCACAGGAACCCCAGAAAAGGGAGAUGCGCAGAUGUGAACCCAGCUGGCUGCAGGGAGAUACAGAUGUGAACCCAGCUGGCUGCAGGGAGAUGCACAGAUGUGAACCCAGCUGGUUGUGAGGAGAUGCACAGGCCCCCCCCCCCCCCCCCCCCCCCCCCCCCCCCCCCCCCCCCCCCCCCCCCCCCCCCCCCCCCCCCCCCCCCCCC